GGAAGUAAAAGUCGUAACAAGGUUUCCGUAGGUGAACCUGCGGAAGGAUCAUUAUCCAUCUCAAACCAGGUGCGGUCGCGGCCCCCGGGGGCUUGCUCCCGGGUGGUAGGGGUAACACCCUCACGCGCCGCCUGCCUGUACCCUCUUUUUACGAGCACCUUUCGUUCUCCUUCGGCGGGGCAACCUGCCGCUGGAACCAAAACAAAACCUUUUUUGCAUCUAGCAUUACCUGUUCUGAUACAAAUAAUCGUUACAACUUUCAACAAUGGAUCUCUUGGCUCUGGCAUCGAUGAAGAACGCAGCGAAAUGCGAUAAGUAGUGUGAAUUGCAGAAUUCAGUGAAUCAUCGAAUCUUUGAACGCACAUUGCGCCCCUUGGUAUUCCAUGGGGCAUGCCUGUUCGAGCGUCAUCUACACCCUCAAGCUCUGCUUGGUGUUGGGCGUCUGUCCCGCCUCUGCGCGCGGACUCGCCCCAAAUUCAUUGGCAGCGGUCUUUGCCUCCUCUCGCGCAGCACAAUUGCGUCUGCGGGGGGGCGUGGCCCGCGUCCACGAAGCAACAUUACCGUCUUUGACCUCGGAUCAGGUAGGGAUACCCGCUGAACUUAA
rnacentral:rRNA from 1 species